AUUGAACGCUGGCGGCAUGCCUUACACAUGCAAGUCGAACGGUAACGGGUCCUUCGGGAUGCCGACGAGUGGCGAACGGGUGAGUAAUAUAUCGGAACGUGCCCAGUAGUGGGGGAUAACUGCUCGAAAGAGCAGCUAAUACCGCAUACGACCUGAGGGUGAAAGGGGGGGAUCGCAAGACCUCUCGCUAUUGGAGCGGCCGAUAUCAGAUUAGCUAGUUGGUGGGGUAAAGGCCUACCAAGGCAACGAUCUGUAGUUGGUCUGAGAGGACGACCAGCCACACUGGGACUGAGACACGGCCCAGACUCCUACGGGAGGCAGCAGUGGGGAAUUGUGGACAAUGGGCGCAAGCCUGAUCCAGCAAUGCCGCGUGCAGGAGGAAGGCCUUCGGGUUGUAAACUGCUUUUGUCAGGGAAGAAAUCUUCUGGGCUAAUACCCCGGGAGGAUGACGGUACCUGAAGAAUAAGCACCGGCUAACUACGUGCCAGCAGCCGCCGUAA
rnacentral:rRNA from 1 species